UGAGGAAUUUUCUGCAAUGGGCGAAAGCCUGACAGAGCAAUACCGCGUGAGGGAUGAAGACUUACUGAGUUGUAAACCUCGGUGCCUUAAGGAAGAAGAUCUGACGGUACUUAAGGUGGAAAGCAUCGGCUAACUCCGUGCCAGCAGCCGCGGUAAGACGGGGGAUGCAAGUGUUAUCCGGAAUCACUGGGCGUAAAGCGUCUGCAGGUGGUUUCCUAAGUCCACUGUUAAACCUUGAGGCUCAACCUCAAAUCUGCAUUGGAAACUAGGAGACUUGAGUAUAGUAGGGGUAGAGGGAAUUUCCAGUGGAGCGGUGAAAUGCGUAGAUAUUGGAAAGAACACCGAUGGCGAAGGCACUCUACUGGGCUAUUACUGACACUCAGAGACGAAAGCUAGGGGAGCAAAUGGGAUUAGAUACCCGUGUAGUCC
rnacentral:rRNA from 1 species